UACAGAGGGUGCAAGCGUUAAUCGGAGUUACUGGGCGUAAAGGGCGCGUAGGCGGGUAUAUAAGUGAGAUGUGAAAUCCCUGGGCUUAACCUAGGAAUUGCAUUUUAGACUGUGUAUCUGGAGUACAGUAGAGGGUGGUGGAAUUUCCGGUGUAGCGGUGAAAUGCGUAGAGAUCGGAAGGAACAUCAGUGGCGAAGGCGACCACCUGGACUGUGACUGACGCUGAGGCGCGAGAGCGUGGGUAGCAAACAGG
rnacentral:rRNA from 1 species